AUUGAACGCUGGCGGCAGGCCUAACACAUGCAAGUCGAACGAGCGGCGGACGGGUGAGUAAUGUCUGGGAAACUGCCUGAUGGAGGGGGAUAACUACUGGAAACGGUAGCUAAUACCGCAUACCAUCGGAUGUGCCCAGAUGGGAUUAGCUAGUAGGUGGGGUAAUGGCUCACCUAGGCGACGAUCCCUAGCUGGUCUGAGAGGAUGACCAGCAACACUGGAAAUGAGACACGGUCCAGACUCCUACGUGAGUCAGCAGUGGGGAAUAUGGCACAAUGGGCGCAAGCCUGAUGCAGCCAUGCCGCGUGUAUGAAGAGGGCCUUCGGGUUGUAAAGUUCUUUCAGCGGGGAGGCGUUACCCGCAGAAGAAGCACCGGCUAACUCCGUGCCAGCAGCCGCGGUAAUAC
rnacentral:rRNA from 1 species